UACGAAGGGGGCUAGCGUUGUUCGGAUUUACUGGGCGUAAAGCGCACGUAGGCGGAUCGUUAAGUCGGGGGUGAAAUCCUGGGGCUCAACCCCAGAACUGCCUUCGAUACUGGCGAUCUCGAGUCCGGAAGAGGUGAGUGGAACUCCUAGUGUAGAGGUGGAAUUCGUAGAUAUUAGGAAGAACACCAGUGGCGAAGGCGGCUCACUGGCCCGAUACUGACGCUGAGGAGCGAAAGCGUGGGGAGCGAACAGG
rnacentral:rRNA from 1 species